AAGUCGUAACAAGGUUUCCGUAGGUGAACCUGCGGAAGGAUCAUUAACACGUCCGUGAACAUUGAUUCCUGCUCUUGUAACCCGCGAAGCUUGCAAUCUCUGGUAAAUCAUAGCCCGGAAAGUAGUUUUGAUUCAGAGACCUCUGGCCCGUGCGAAAUCACAACAGUUACAAUUCGAGCGGUAGUUCUAUAGGCCUUGUUUCCCCAAGCAGUCAGUGUCUGAAAGUGUCAGUGAUUGUGCAAGGAUAACGCUUCACGAUUCUUGUAGACCGCAUCUCGCGGGCAGGAGCUAGGCCAAAGGGUCCCCAUGCCCCCUUACAACCCCACAGUUAAAUGUGAAGCUCAAUGUAAUACAUUGGGUAAAAAACCGAACAACUGUUAACAAUGGAUAUCUUGGUUCUC
rnacentral:misc_RNA from 1 species